ensembl:snRNA U6 U6 spliceosomal RNA
AUGCUUGUUUUGGUGGUGUAAGUACUAAAAUUGGGACAAUAUGGAGAAGAUUAACAUGAUCUCUUUGCAAGGAUGACACGGGAAUUCUUGAAACAUUUCAUAUUUUA